GGAAACUUAAUACCCAAUCAUUACUAAAAAUAUUAACCCAGACGAAGGCAUUACUAUAUAGCCCGGGAACUAUACUUGUUAUGGGAUAUAUGGUGGGAUAGGGCGGUUACAAACUAUCUCUCAGUUGACCUUCCAGAAUAGAAUAAGCUUGGAAAUGAUUUUAGCAGAAAAAGGGAGAGUAUGUAAAAUACUCCCAGACACCAUGACAUGCUGUACCUAUAUUCCAGAUAAUACAGGCCCUAAUGGUAAGGUAACGUUGGCAAUAGAAAAGUUAAAGAGUUUGUCCAAUGAACUGAAACGAAAUUCUGGGGCCACAGAUCCAUGGGAAAGAUGGUUUGGAUGGAUGUCUGGAUGGCAAGGUGCUUUGGCCCAAAUAGGUGUUGCCAUUUUAAUAACGAUAAUCAUCCUCGCUCUUCUUGUUUGUUGUGUGUUACCCUGUCUUAAGAAAUGCCUACAAAGGACAGUUGAUCAGACAAUCGACCAGACCACCCCGACCUUCCUUCACCAAGAGAUUGACGACAUCGACCUUGAUACACCACAUACACCCUUACAGUCCCACCGCACUAAAUCAACAGCUACUUCCUCUUAAAGACAUUUAGGGAUAGCGUCUGUCUCUACGGGCAGAAGUCUGCCGCGGGAGAAGUAGUGGACAAGCUGCUAUGGGGUACCCGCGCAGUGAAGUGUUCGAGGCCUGUUCAGACAGAUGUGCAAGAUAGCCUUUUGUUAUUUUUCUAUAGGGACAGUAUUAGAAUGAGAGAUAGUAGUUUUAGUAAAAUUGCCAUUUUAAGGGGGGACUGUUAUGGACAGAUGAAUUAAAAUAAAAUGGCUAUUUACUAAUGUCUAUUUAUUCUGUGUUCACUAUGUUAAAACUGGCUGCUAGAGUAAAUAUUCCCUUCGCCCCCUACAAUGUGUUCAGUUGCUGUUUACUAUGUAAAUUCUUCAUCCUGAUAAGCAUCCCCCUUCAAAACAAGCAAACCUUGUGUAAACAAAAUUCCUGUGUUAACAGCUCCCUUUACUAACUCCUCCCCCACUACCUUUGUGCCAGUUAAACAGCUAUAUGCCACGUAUAGCUAAAUGGAGGAUCAUUGGUUUAGAACUGAUAGAUACCACUCACUCCCCCUCCCAUCGUGUAUCCAAAAGUGUGUAAUGAUGACACUACAUUCUGUAGGGGGGUUUAAACAAGAGCCCCCUUUCUCUGUUAACCAAUUGGUGAAUGUAUACUGUAUGUUUAAACUGUGACGUAUUUUUGCUUUAAGAAGGAGCCCCCACUCCGGGGAAUAAAGCAUUCCUGGGUUUUUCACUGAUCAGAAACUUUGUCUCCGGUGUGAAUUACUUCUAGGGAAAGCGUGCACGCAUUAAUUAAUCAAUUUGGAAGGUGUAGAUAGACAAAUAAUCAAAGUUUUCUUUGAUCCAAAACAAUACUU